AGAGUUUGAUCCUGGCUCAGAACGAACGCUGGCGGCAGGCCUAACACAUGCAAGUCGAGCGCGCUUUCGGGUGAGCGGCGGACGGGUUAGUAACGCGUGGGAACGUGCCCUUCUCUACGGAAUAGCCUCUGGAAACGGAGAGUAAUACCGUAUACGCCCUUUGGGGGAAAGAUUUAUCGGAGAAGGAUCGGCCCGCGUUAGAUUAGGUAGUUGGUGGGGUAACGGCCUACCAAGCCUACGAUCUAUAGCUGGUUUUAGAGGAUGAUCAGCAACACUGGGACUGAGACACGGCCCAGACUCCUACGGGAGGCAGCAGUGGGGAAUCUUAGACAAUGGGGGCAACCCUGAUCUAGCCAUGCCGCGUGAGUGAUGAAGGCCUUAGGGUCGUAAAACUCUUUCGCCUGUGAUGAUAAUGACAGUAGCAGGUAAAGAAACCCCGGCUAACUCCGUGCCAGCAGCCGCGGUAAUACGGAGGGGGUUAGCGUUGUUCGGAAUUACUGGGCGUAAAGCGCGCGUAGGCGGAUUAGAAAGUUGGGGGUGAAAUCCCGGGGCUCAACCCCGGAACUGCCUCCAAAACUGCUAGUCUAGAGUUCGAGAGAGGUGAGUGGAAUUCCGAGUGUAGAGGUGAAAUUCGUAGAUAUUCGGAGGAACACCAGUGGCGAAGGCGGCUCACUGGCUCGAUACUGACGCUGAGGUGCGAAAGUGUGGGGAGCAAACAGGAUUAGAUACCCUGGUAGUCCACACCGUAAACGAUGAAUGCCAGUCGUCGGAUAGUAUACUAUUCGGUGACACACCUAACGGAUUAAGCAUUCCGCCUGGGGAGUACGGUCGCAAGAUUAAAACUUAAAGGAAUUGACGG
rnacentral:rRNA from 1 species